rnacentral:tRNA from 1 species
UGGCUCAGUGGUUAAGCGCUCAGCUGCUAACUGAAAGGUUGGUGGUUUGAGCCCACC